rnacentral:rRNA from 1 species
CAACUAUUCAGCCCAACUAACCUCAACAAACUCAAUAAACCAAUAACACUCCCAAAACAAACAACUAAAACAUUCUACUAUCCUAGUAUAGGUGAUAGAACAGAUUCCUUAGGCGCUAUAAAGAUAAGUACCGUGAGGGAAAAAUGAAAAACAUGAAACACUCCCUAAGCAAGAAAAAGCAAAGAUCAACCCUUGUACCUUUUGCAUUAUGAUUUAGCUAGUAUUACCAAAGCACAGUGAAACUAAAGUUUUUUACCCCGAAACCAGAUGAGCUACUUAAUGGCAACCUAAAUAUAGGUUACUAACCGUCUCUGUAGCAAAAGAGUGGAAAGACCAAUAAGUAGAGGUGAAAAGCCAAACGAAUCUGGUGAUAGCUGGUUGCUCAAGAAAAGAAUAACAGUUCUGCCUUAAAUAUUCCAAACACAAAGAAAAGUCCAUCUGUAAAAUCUAAGAGUUAUUCAGCUGAGGUACAGCUCACCUGAAACGGGACACAACCUACAUCGGAGGGACUAGAAAAUAUCCUCAAAAACACCGUAGGCCUUCAAGCAGCCACCACCCAAAGAAAGCGUUAAAGCUCACCCUAUUCAAAUACAAAAACUAACCUAUCCCCCAAUCACAAUUGAGCUAUUCUAUAUACCAUAGAAGAACUAAUGCUAAAAUUAGUAACAAGAAUUCCAUUCUCUACGCACAAGUCUAAAUCAGUUCAGACAUUCUACUGAUUAUUAACGACUAGCCAUACAAACAAAAAUACUAACAAAACCAUAUGAACUCUCCCGUCAACCCAACACAGGAGUGCGUAUAAGAAAGAUUAAAAUUUGUAAAAGGAACUAGGCAAAACGAGAGCCCGACUGUUUACCAAAAACAUAGCCACUAGCUAAACAAGUAUUAGAGGUGAUGCCUGCCCGGUGAUUAAUUAAACGGCCGCGGUAUCCUGACCGUGCGAAGGUAGCAUAAUCGCUUGUCUUUUAAAUAAAGACUAGAAUGAAUGGCUAAACGAGGUUCUAUCUGUCUCUUACAAACAAUCAGUGAAAUUGAUCUACUCGUGCAAAAGCGAGUAUUUUCCCAUAAGACGAGAAGACCCUGUGGAACUUUAAGAACUAAUCAGCCUUCAUGUAAUACUACACCCCACGGGACCACAUCAAAUUUUCCCCUGAUUAUUACUUUCGGUUGGGGCGACCUCGGAGUACAAGAAACCCUCCGAAGAUAGGACAAAAUCCACACCAAGAAUCACACCUCAAAGUACUAGCAAGUAAAAACGAUCCAAUAAAUUUGAUCAACGAACAAAGCUACCCCAGGGAUAACAGCGCAAUCCCCUUUCAGAGUUCAUAUCAACAAGGGGGUUUACGACCUCGAUGUUGGAUCAGGACAUCCUAAUGGUGCAGCAGCUAUUAAGGGUUCGUUUGUUCAACGAUUAACAGUCCCACGUGAUCUGAGUUCAGACCGGAGUAAUCCAGGUCGGUUUCUAUCUAUGUUUGUACAUUUUCCAGUACGAAAGGAACUAAAAUGUAAGGCCCAUAAAAACUUACGCCUUACCCUACAUCUAUGAAAUCAACUUAACUAAUAAAAGGGGACUAUACUUACCUACCUAAGACCAAGGU